rnacentral:rRNA from 1 species
CCUACGGGAGGCAGCAGUGAGGAAUAUUGGUCAAUGGACGGAAGUCUGAACCAGCCAUGCCGCGUGCAGGAAGACGGCUCUAUGAGUUGUAAACUGCUUUUGUAGAAGGGUAAACCUGAAGAAGUGUAUGCAGGUGAAAGUACGGUAAGAAUAAGGAACGGCUAACUCCGUGCCAGCAGCCGCGGUAAUACGGAGGAUACAAGCGUUAUCCGGAUUUAUUGGGGUUCAAGGGUGCGUAGGCGGCUUGCUAAGUUAGAGGGGAAAUGUCCGAGCUUAACUCGGGAACUGCCUCUCAUACUGUUGAUCUUGUGCGUAGGUGCGGUAGGCGGAAUG